AAUUCAAACUGUAUAAUUCGAAUUUGUCUUAGAAUUUCGAUUUCAAUCAGCAGUAUUGGGUAUUAUUCGAGAUGAUUCGGCUGAAAAUGGAACUGAAGGGAAGUAAUCAAUCGACUAAUAACGCCCCUGGCUAACAUUUGCUAUCCAUUUGCAAAUCGCCCCACCUGACGGACUGGCCAAGUUGCGCAGCAUGUCCUUUUGCAAUAUCAACGUUAGUGGCAAACAACAAAAUUAGUCAGCAAAACAUGGCCGCCCUGCAAUUAGCAUCAUGAGCACCAUGCAAUUUUGAUGACCAAAUUGCCAUAAACCGGUCACUGACACAUACUCCGCAGUCUGGUCUCCGAAAGUCCGGAGGACACUGUACUCAACGGGGCGAUAAUCAUGGAACACUGCACCGCACGCUGAUGCCAAUCAAAAUUCAAAAUUUCGACAGUCCGUAUAUGGCCGUAUGCGGCGACCACGCCCCCCUUCUGUCUACCCAAACAAAGGGGGCGGGCGCAGCAGAGCGUGGCUACGUCGAUAAGUCACGGACAAAAUGGUCAAAUGUCAGAGGAGCAACGCGGUUGAGAUCAUCGGACCGACCACUGGGGCGGUCUCUACACUGGUAAAAAAGUAUGUCACUAUCUACAAAACAAUCUUUAAUAUAUCUUUAGAAAUUUUGGAAAC
rnacentral:lncRNA from 1 species